GACGAACGCUGGCGGCGUGCUUAACACAUGCAAGUCGAACGGAAAGGCCCUGCGUUUGUGCGUUUCUCGAUUGCCGAACGGGUGAGUGACACGUGUGUAUCCUGUCCUUGUCUUUCUGGUAUCUUCAGGAAACUGGGGCUAAUAUCCGAUAGGAUCUCCUGCUGCAUGGUGUGCGUUGGAAAGUUUCGGCUUUUGUGGCUGGACUCGCGGCUUAUCAGCUUGUUUGUGGGGUAGUUGCUUACCAAGGCUUUGACGGGUAGCCGGCAUGAGAGGGUGAACGGGCACCUUGCGACUGCGAUAGGGAGCAGACUGCUACGGGCGGCAGUAGGGGGGAAUCUUGCACAAUGGGCGGGCGCGUGAUACAGAAACGUUGGGUGCGUGAUGCCGGGUUUUGGGUUGUAAACCGCUUUCGAAUGUGACGAAGAGUGAGUGACGGUAAUGGGUCAAGAAGCAACGGCUAACUACGUG
rnacentral:rRNA from 1 species